rnacentral:rRNA from 1 species
GACGAACGCUGGCGGCGUGCUUAACACAUGCAAGUCGAACGGAAAGGCCCUGCUUGCAGGGUACUCGAGUGGCGAACGGGUGAGUAACACGUGGGUGAUCUGCCCUGCACUUCGGGAUAAGCCUGGGAAACUGGGUCUAAUACCGGAUAGGAGCCAUUUUUAGUGUGAUGGUUGGAAAGUUUUUUCGGUGUAGGAUGAGCUUGCAGCCUAUCAGCUUGUUGGUGGGGUAAUGGCCUACCAAGGCGGCGACGGGUAGCCGGCCUGAGAGGGUGGACGGCCACAUUGGGACUGAGAUACGGCCCAGACUCCUACGGGAGGCAGCAGUGGGGAAUAUUGCACAAUGGGCGCAAGCCUGAUGCAGCGACGCCGCGUGGGGGAUGACGGCCUUCGGGUUGUAAACGCCUUUCGCUAGGGACGAAGCUUUUUGUGACGGUACCUAGAUAAGAAGCACCGGCUAACUACGUG